AAAUUGAAGAGUUUGAUCAUGGCUCAGAUUGAACGCUGGCGGCAGGCCUAACACAUGCAAGUCGAGCGGUAGCACAGAGAGCUUGCUCUCGGGUGACGAGCGGCGGACGGGUGAGUAAUGUCUGGGAAGCUGCCUGAUGGAGGGGGAUAACUACUGGAAACGGUAGCUAAUACCGCAUAAUGUCGCAAGACCAAAGUGGGGGACCUUCGGGCCUCAUGCCAUCAGAUGUGCCCAGAUGGGAUUAGCUAGUAGGUGGGGU
rnacentral:rRNA from 1 species